rnacentral:rRNA from 1 species
UCGAUUUGGAGUUUGNUGCCCUGAGUGAUGGGCUCCGAAGCUAACGCGAUAAAUCGACCGCCUGGGGAGUACGGCCGCAAGGUUAAAACUCAAAUGAAUUGACGGGGGCCCGCACAAGCGGUGGAGCAUGUGGUUUAAUUCGAUGCAACGCGAAGAACCUUACCUGGUCUUGACAUCCACAGAAUCUUGCAGAGAUGCGAGAGUGCCUUCGGGAACUGUGAGACAGGUGCUGCAUGGCUGUCGUCAGCUCGUGUUGUGAAAUGUUGGGUUAAGUCCCGCAACGAGCGCAACCCUUAUCCUUUGUUGCCAGCGGUUUGGCCGGGAACUCAAAGGAGACUGCCGUUGAUAAAGCGGAGGAAGGUGGGGACGACGUCAAGUCAUCAUGGCCCUUACGACCAGGGCUACACACGUGCUACAAUGGCGUAUACAAAGGGAGGCGACCUCGCGAGAGCAAGCGGACCUCAUAAAGUACGUCUAAGUCCGGAUUGGAGUCUGCAACUCGACUCCAUGAAGUCGGAAUCGCUAGUAAUCGUGAAUCAGAAUGUCACGGUGAAUACGUUCCCGGGCCU